AGUGAACGCUGGCGGUAGGCCUAACACAUGCAAGUCGAACGGCAGCACAGUAAGAGCCUGCUCUUACGGGUGGCGAGUGGCGGACGGGUGAGGAAUACAUCGGAAUCUACUUUUUCGUGGGGGGUAACGUAGGGAAACUUACGCUAAUACCGCAUACGACCUACGGGUGAAAGCAGGGGAUCUUCGGACCUUGCGCGAUUGAAUGAGCCGAUGUCGGAUUAGCUAGUUGGCGGGGUAAAGGCCCACCAAGGCGACGAUCCGUAGCUGGUCUGAGAGGAUGAUCAGCCACACUGGAACUGAGACACGGUCCAGACUCCUACGGGAGGCAGCAGUGGGGAAUAUUGGACAAUGGGCGCAAGCCUGAUCCAGCCAUACCGCGUGGGUGAAGAAGGCCUUCGGGUUGUAAAGCCCUUUUGUUGGGAAAGAAAAGCAGCAGGUUAAUACCCCGCUGUUCUGACGGUACCCAAAGAAUAAGCACCGGCUAACUUCGUG
rnacentral:rRNA from 1 species